rnacentral:rRNA from 1 species
AAACCAACAGGGAUUGCCUUAGUAGCGGCGAGUGAAGCGGCAAAAGCUCAAAUUUGAAAUCUGGCACUUUCAGUGUCCGAGUUGUAAUUUGAAGAAGGUAUCUUUGGGUCUGGCUCUUGUCUAUGUUUCUUGGAACAGAACGUCACAGAGGGUGAGAAUCCCGUGCGAUGAGAUGUCCCAGACCUAUGUAAAGUUCCUUCGAAGAGUCGAGUUGUUUGGGAAUGCAGCUCUAAGUGGGUGGUAAAUUCCAUCUAAAGCUAAAUAUUGGCGAGAGACCGAUAGCGAACAAGUACAGUGAUGGAAAGAUGAAAAGAACUUUGAAAAGAGAGUGAAAAAGUACGUGAAAUUGUUGAAAGGGAAGGGCUUGAGAUCAGACUUGGUAUUUUGUAUGUUACUCUCUCGGGGGUGGUCUCUACAGUUUACCGGGCCAGCAUCAGUUUGAGCGGUAGGAUAAGUGCAAAGAAAUGUGGCACUGCUUCGGUAGUGUGUUAUAGUCUUUGUCGAUACUGCCAGC